rnacentral:lncRNA from 1 species
GGGGAAGGGACUGUCCUAAGUAGGCAGAUGGAGUGAUAUGGUUGUCCACUGGUUGAGAAUAAGAGUUUGUGAUGUCAGGAGGGGCGUAACUAUCAUUCAUGAACAUGCUGGUGGGUUUUGCAACUUUCAGAUAAACAAAGUCAGAAGUGUUUUUUAAGGCAGUCACUGCUUCUUCAUGAGUAACUUCUUCUAAGCAAACACUAUUCACAGCUAAAAGUUUGUCACCAAUUUGAAGUUUUCCAUCUUUGUGGGCUGCCCCUCCUUCAAUGAUUUUGGUUACAUAGAUGCUGUUGUCUCCAGGUAUAUGCUGAUUUCCUACACCACCAGCAAUACUGAAACCAAGACCUUUGGGGCCUUUUACAAGUUUUAUUUCCACUAUUUUUUCCGUCACUGGUUUUCUUCUUUUGACAUACAAUCGUACAAUUGAUCCCGCUUCUUUUAAUGCUUCAACUGCUUUGCUGUGUGUCACAUCACGAACAUCAACCUCAUUUACUCGUAGAAUACAAUCAUUAACCCGUAAUCUUCCAUCCUGUGCAGCUGCACCUCCAGCUAUAAUUUUGGUAAUGAAAAUACUUGAAUCAUCCCCAAUAUGUGGGUUGU